UACGGGGGGAGCAAGCGUUGUUCGGAUUUACGGGGCGUAAAGGGCGCGUAGGCGGCCACCGCAAGUCGACUGUGAAAUCUCCGGGCUUAACUCGGAAAGGUCAGCCGAUACUGCGGGGCUAGAGUGCAGAAGGGGCAACUGGAAUUCUCGGUGUAGCGGUGAAAUGCGUAGAUAUCGAGAGGAACACCUGCGGCGAAGGCGGGUUGCUGGACCACCACUGACGCUGAUGCGCGAAAGCCAGGGGAGCAAACGGG
rnacentral:rRNA from 1 species